rnacentral:rRNA from 1 species
AUUGAACGCUGGCGGCAGGCCUAACACAUGCAAGUCGAACGAGUGGCGGACGGGUGAGUAAUGUCUGGGAAACUGCCUGAUGGAGGGGGAUAACUACGGGACACGGUCGCUAAUACCGCAUACCAUCAGAUGUGCCCAGAUGGUAUGAGCUAGUUGGUGGGGUAACGGCUCACCAAGGCGACGAUCCCUAGCUGGUUUGAGAGGAGCACCAGCCACACUGGAACUGAGACACGGUCCAGACUCCUACGGGAGGCAGCAGUGGGGAAUAUUGCACAAUGGGCGCAAGCCUGAUGCAGCCAUGCCGCGUGUAUGAAGAAGGCCUUCGGGUUGUAAAGUACUUUCAGCGGGGAGGCGUUACCCGCAGAAGAAGCACCGGCUAACUCCGUGCCAGCAGCCGCGGUAAUAC